rnacentral:rRNA from 1 species
CGAGCGCAACCCUUGUUCUUAGUUGCCAGCGAGUAAUGUCGGGCACUCUAAGGAUACUGCCGGUGACAACCGGAGGGAGUGGGAUGACGUCAAAUCAUCAUGCCCUUUAUGACCUGGGCUACACACGUGCUACAAUGGCCUAUACAAAGGGUAGCGAAGCUGUGAAGUGGAGCCAAUCCCAAAAAGUAGGUCUCAGUUCGGAUUGUAGGCUGCAACUCGCCUACAUGAAGUCGGAAUCGCUAGUAAUCGCGGAUCAGCAUGCCGCGGUGAAUACGUUCCCGGGCCUU